UACGGAGGGAGCUAGCGUUGUUCGGAAUUACUGGGCGUAAAGCGCGCGUAGGCGGCUUUGUAAGUUAGAGGUGAAAGCCCGGGGCUCAACCCCGGAACUGCCUUUAAGACUGCAUCGCUUGAAUCCGGGAGAGGUGAGUGGAAUUCCGAGUGUAGAGGUGAAAAUUCGUAGAUAUUCGGAAGAACACCAGUGGCGAAGGCGGCUCACUGGACCGGCAUUGACGCUGAGGUGCGAAAGCGUGGGGAGCAAACCGG
rnacentral:rRNA from 1 species